UGAAAACAAGCUAAGAUGAAGGGAGCCAUGUCCACCACCACCGCCUUAGUUCUGCUUACUCUAUUUGCUUUGUGCAUCAAAGUCAAUGAUACAUUAGGCACAGGUGUCUGCCAAGCAUGUACUGGRGUUGAUUGCUGCUUAGCGAACAUAAAUAGAAAACUACAGCAACAGAAAAGACUGCAACAGAAACGAUGGAAUAAAAUGCUGGAGAGUAGUCCGUCCACAAUUCAUGGAUUUGCAAAACAACCGAACAACCUUAUGUUUGGAAAUAGUAAUCAACGCAUCUAAAGGAGCCGCUGCUUGUAUAGAGUUCGAGUCACCGUCAAUGUUGUCAUAUUUUGAAAAGAGCAUGUAGUUUUUAACUUAAGCAAAAAAGUGUUUCCCGUUCCAAUAUUGCAAUAUUGUUACAAAUAGUGCCAUGUUUUGCCAUUAAAAUUCAGUCAUUAAAAGCA